rnacentral:rRNA from 1 species
UUUAAAGUCUGACCUGCCCUAUGAUAUUUAUAUUAAAUGGCUGCGAUAGCUUGAUCGUGCAAAGGUAGCAUAAUAAUUAGUUUUUUAAUUGGGAACUGGUAUGAAAGGUCGAACGAGAAAAAAACUGUCUCGAUUUAAAUUAAAUUAGAAUUUUAUUUUUAAGUAAAAAAGCUUGGAUGAUUUUAAAAGACGAGAAGACCCUAUAGAGUUUUAUAUUUAUUAUAAUUUUUUUUAGUUUAAGAAUUUAAUUUUAAGGAUUUAUAAUAAAUAUUUAAUUGGGGUGAUUGAAAAAUUAAAUAAACUUUUUUUAAUAAUUUAACAUUUUUAUAUGAAAAAUUGAUCCAUUUAUAUAUGAUUAAAAGAUUAAAUUACCUUAGGGAUAACAGCGUAAUUUUUUUUAAGAGUUCAUAUCGAAAAAAAAGUUUGCGACCUCGAUGUUGGAUUAAAAUUAACUUUUGGUGUAGGGGCUAAAAUAGUUGGGUCUGUUCGACCUUUAAAAUUUU